rnacentral:rRNA from 1 species
CGGUGUAAAAUGAGCUUGCGUCCUAUUAGCUAGUUGGUGAGGUAAUGGCUCACCAAGGCUACGAUGGGUAGGGGUUCUUAGUGGAAGGUCCCCCACACUGGCACUGAGAUACGGGCCAGACUCCUACGGGAGGCAGCAGUAGGGAAUAUUGGUCAAUGGGCGCAAGCCUGAACCAGCCAUGCCGCGUGCAGGAUGAAGGCUCUCUGAGUUGUAAACUGCUUUUGUACAGGAGCAAAAAAAUCCCUGCGGGGGUUCUUGAGAGUACUGUAAGAAUAAGCACCGGCUAAUUCCGUGCCAGCAGCCGCGGUAAUACGGGAGGUGCAAGCGUUAUCCGGUUUUAUUGGGUUUAAAGGGUGCGUAGGCGGCUUAUUAAGUCAGUUGUGAAAUCC